rnacentral:rRNA from 1 species
CCCCUCGCAGGGGGAUAACCGGGGGAAACCCCGGCUAAUACCCCGUACGCUUGCCGGGUCGCAUGGCCCGGUAAGGAAAGGUAGCUUCGGCCAUCCGGCGAGGGAUGAGCCCGCGGUGCAUUAGCUAGUUGGUGGGGUAACGGCCCACCAAGGCUACGAUGCAUAGCUGGUCUGAGAGGAUGAUCAGCCACACUGGGACUGAGACACGGCCCAGACUCCUACGGGAGGCAGCAGUCGGGAAUCUUGCGCAAUGGGCGAAAGCCUGACGCAGCAACACCGUGUGAGCGACGAAGGCCUUCGGGUCGUAAAGCUCUGUUGUUGGGGACGAAGGGCGAGGGGUUAAUAGCCCCUAGCUUGACGGUACCCUUCGAGGAAGCCCCGGCUAAUUACGUGC